rnacentral:rRNA from 1 species
GAUCUCAAAUCAGGUAGGACUACCCGCUGAACUUAAGCAUAUCAAUAAG